UUUUUUUAGAGAGUUUGAUCCUGGCUCAGGACGAACGCUGGCGGCGUGCCUAACACAUGCAAGUCGAGCGGUCCUGCAUUCAACAUUGAGUAUUCAGCUGACGUUGGAGAUUGAGCCGGCGUCAAGCAGAAACAACCAUAUACUAUGAUAUGUUUAAAGUUUCUGCUUCACGCUGAAUAAAGUGCCAACACAAAAAGGAGCUGAGUAUUGAAUGUUGAAUGCAGGAUAGCGGCGGACGGGUGAGUAACGCGUGGGUAAUCUGCCUCACACAGGGGGAUAACACUGGGAAACUAGUGCUAAUACCGCAUAACAUAACGAGGUGGCAUCACUUUGUUAUCAAAGGAGCAAUCCGGUGUGAGAUGAGCCCGCGUCCGAUUAGCUAGUUGGUGAGGUAACGGCUCACCAAGGCGACGAUCGGUAGCCGAACUGAGAGGUUGAUCGGCCACAUUGGGACUGAGACACGGCCCAGACUCCUACGGGAGGCAGCAGUGGGGAAUAUUGCGCAAUGGGGGAAACCCUGACGCAGCAACGCCGCGUGAAGGAAGAAGGUCUUCGGAUUGUAAACUUCUUUGGUUGGGGACGAUAAUGACGGUACCCAAGGAACAAGCCACGGCUAACUACGUGCCAGCAGCCGCGGUAAUACGUAGGUGGCGAGCGUUGUCCGGAAUUACUGGGUGUAAAGGGCGCGUAGGCGGGGAUGCAAGUCAGAUGUGAAAUUCCGGGGCUCAACCCCGGCGCUGCAUCUGAAACUGUAUUUCUUGAGUGCUGGAGAGGAAAGCGGAAUUCCUAGUGUAGCGGUGAAAUGCGUAGAGAUUAGGAGGAACACCAGUGGCGAAGGCGGCUUUCUGGACAGUAACUGACGCUGAGGCGCGAAAGCGUGGGGAGCAAACAGGAUUAGAUACCCUGGUAGUCCACGCCGUAAACGAUGGAUACUAGGUGUAGGAGGUAUCGACCCCUUCUGUGCCGGAGUUAACACAAUAAGUAUCCCACCUGGGGAGUACGGCCGCAAGGUUGAAACUCAAAGGAAUUGACGGGGGCCCGCACAAGCAGUGGAGUAUGUGGUUUAAUUCGAAGCAACGCGAAGAACCUUACCAGGGCUUGACAUCCCUCUGACAGCUCUAGAGAUAGGGCUUCUCUUCGGAGCAGAGGAGACAGGUGGUGCAUGGUUGUCGUCAGCUCGUGUCGUGAGAUGUUGGGUUAAGUCCCGCAACGAGCGCAACCCUUGUUGUUAGUUGCCAUCAUUAAGUUGGGCACUCUAACGAGACUGCCGGUGAUAAAUCGGAGGAAGGUGGGGACGACGUCAAAUCAUCAUGCCCCUUAUGUCCUGGGCUACACACGUACUACAAUGGCUGCUACAAAGGGAAGCGAGACCGCGAGGUGGAGCAAAUCCCCAAAAGCAGUCCCAGUUCAGAUUGCAGGCUGAAACUCGCCUGCAUGAAGUCGGAAUUGCUAGUAAUGGCAGGUCAGCAUACUGCCGUGAAUACGUUCCCGGGCCUUGUACACACCGCCCGUCACACCAUGAGAGUCUGCAACACCCGAAGUCAGUAGUCUAACCGAGAGGAGGGCGCUGCCGAAGGUGGGGCAGAUGAUUGGGGUGAAGUCGUAACAAGGUAGCCGUAUCGGAAGGUGCGGCUGGAUCACCUCCUUUCU
rnacentral:rRNA from 1 species